CGAGAGAUACGUGAAUCAUCGAAUCUUUGAACGCAUCUUGCACCUUUCAGGUCUCCUGAAAGGUAUACUUGUUUGAGUAGCAUAAACAACAACUCCAAGGGUGUUAUACUCUUGGGAAUUGAGACGUCAAGUUAGCAACUAACAUGUGUCUUUUAACUGAUAUGCAAGUGUUUCUGUAGCGCGCAUGCUAUGCAUGUGUGCGGUCGGAAAGCCCUACAAUCAAAUGUGAGAUAAAUAUCGCACAAAGUAGUUGAAAGGGUCAAGCUAUGCUACGCCGAGAGGGGUGGAAGGCAUUCCAUGUCAUCUUCCCCUCACCUUUGAUCUGUGAUCUCAAAUCAAGUAAGACUACCCGCCGAACUUAAGCAUAUCAAUAAGCGGAGG
rnacentral:rRNA from 1 species